UUUAAAUUUAGAGUUUGAUCCUGGCUCAGGACGAACGCUGGCGGCGUGCUUAACACAUGCAAGUCGAGCGAUGAAGCUUCCUUCGGGAAGUGGAUUAGCGGCGGACGGGUGAGUAACACGUGGGUAACCUACCUCAAAGUGGGGGAUAGCCUUCCGAAAGGAAGAUUAAUACCGCAUAAUAUGAGAGAAUCGCAUGAUUUUUUUAUCAAAGAUUUAUCGCUUUGAGAUGGACCCGCGGCGCAUUAGCUAGUUGGUAAGGUAACGGCUUACCAAGGCAACGAUGCGUAGCCGACCUGAGAGGGUGAUCGGCCACAUUGGAACUGAGACACGGUCCAGACUCCUACGGGAGGCAGCAGUGGGGAAUAUUGCGCAAUGGGGGAAACCCUGACGCAGCAACGCCGCGUGGGUGAUGAAGGUCUUCGGAUUGUAAAGCCCUGUUUUCUAGGACGAUAAUGACGGUACUAGAGGAGGAAGCCACGGCUAACUACGUGCCAGCAGCCGCGGUAAUACGUAGGUGGCGAGCGUUGUCCGGAUUUACUGGGCGUAAAGGGUGCGUAGGCGGAUGUUUAAGUGGGAUGUGAAAUCCCCGGGCUUAACCUGGGGGCUGCAUUCCAAACUGGAUAUCUAGAGUGCAGGAGAGGAAAGCGGAAUUCCUAGUGUAGCGGUGAAAUGCGUAGAGAUUAGGAAGAACACCAGUGGCGAAGGCGGCUUUCUGGACUGUAACUGACGCUGAGGCACGAAAGCGUGGGUAGCAAACAGGAUUAGAUACCCUGGUAGUCCACGCCGUAAACGAUGGAUACUAGGUGUAGGGGGUAUCAACUCCCCCUGUGCCGCAGUUAACACAAUAAGUAUCCCGCCUGGGGAGUACGGUCGCAAGAUUAAAACUCAAAGGAAUUGACGGGGGCCCGCACAAGCAGCGGAGCAUGUGGUUUAAUUCGAAGCAACGCGAAGAACCUUACCUGGACUUGACAUCCCUUGCAUAGCCUAGAGAUAGGUGAAGCCCUUCGGGGCAAGGAGACAGGUGGUGCAUGGUUGUCGUCAGCUCGUGUCGUGAGAUGUUAGGUUAAGUCCUGCAACGAGCGCAACCCUUGUUAUUAGUUGCUACCAUUAAGUUGAGCACUCUAAUGAGACUGCCUGGGUAACCAGGAGGAAGGUGGGGAUGACGUCAAAUCAUCAUGCCCCUUAUGUCCAGGGCUACACACGUGCUACAAUGGUAGGUACAAUAAGACGCAAGACCGUGAGGUGGAGCAAAACUUAUAAAACCUAUCUCAGUUCGGAUUGUAGGCUGCAACUCGCCUACAUGAAGCUGGAGUUGCUAGUAAUCGCGAAUCAGAAUGUCGCGGUGAAUACGUUCCCGGGCCUUGUACACACCGCCCGUCACACCAUGAGAGCUGGUAACACCCGAAGUCCGUGAGGUAACCGUAAGGAGCCAGCGGCCGAAGGUGGGAUUAGUGAUUGGGGUGAAGUCGUAACAAGGUAGCCGUAGGAGAACCUGCGGCUGGAUCACCUCCUUUCUA
rnacentral:rRNA from 1 species